UGCUUUGCGUUUAAGGGUAUUUUUUCAAUCAAGUGCUCUAUUGUAAUGAAUUUUGUUUCAACCCCAAUUACCAAAAAAAAAAAAAAAGGGAGGGAAUCCCCAACCCAAUGGUAAUAAAUAAAUAAAUAAACACCCCACCAAAAGAUCCCUCCCCCAGCUCCGAAAUUUAAUUAAUGACUAAGAACACCAGUAAAUCCCAGGGGAAGGAGAGGUGGUGCGUUGGCCCCGCGCCGUGCUGAGGGUGUUGGUGCCGUGUGCCCAGGGAGGUUUUAUACCUUUGGGCCUCGUCGAGGGAGUGCGGGGGGAGGCCGGAUUAGGGGCUAGGCUAAGUUUGUAUGACAAGGGCAACGGGAUUGAGAGGGGCUGAUGGUUUAAGCACCCUCUAAGUAGCCAGUUGGCCCCAAAACCUGCAUUAAAGCGUAUUAAUUGGCAAUAAGUGUUUAACGUUGUUUAAGGAGUUGUGGGAGGAAGGAAAGGGCUUGGGGAGACCUUUGGAAAAGGGGCAAUGGCAGGAGGAGAGGUGGUGAGUUGGGGAGCGGGUUCUUUGGAUGACUGAUGGGAGAAAUGGGUCUCUGCUUGAGUCCAUGUUGGAUCACAGCCUUUGGGGCAUCCCUGGGUCAACCUGUGUUUGGGGCCUGAGGGGUACCCAGCUCUGCUUCACUGCCCUUGGGAAAGUUGCUGGGGGGAAGAGCAGAGAGAGAUCGGCCACACUGUGCUUCAGGUGCCUGGUUCAGUGUGAGCACCACGUGGUUUGGGUUCGUGUUUCCAUCACAACUGGGCUCUGCCUGUGUGAGUAAGGGCCCCUACAUGUACAGCACUGGGCAAAGGCAGGAGGGGAAGUUGCUGCCAGCCCAAAGGCUGCCAUCUUGGUUAACAGAACGUCUGGGGGGCAGUUGGGCUGUGCUGCACCCUGAUUGCACUAGAGUGCAAAGGGCUGGAUAUCCUCUUCUGUCUUCCUCCUGGUCUUCCGAGGAGGUGGUGAUGAUCAUCUCCCACCUGCACCUCCUCCCCGUCCCAGCUAAUGCAUGGUACGACUUUGGCUUCAUGCUUGGCACCCAGACACCUUUCACAUGCAGGAUUGCCAACAGUGGGACCAAGAGGACUUUCUCUUGGACUUCUUCCACUCUGGGGAGCUGAACACGAGGCAGGUAAGCCCGAGCCACACGUGUCCUGCUGGAGGGUCUGAACGUGGCUCUGUCCCUUCCCAGCUGUCCUCGAGGACCCAGCUUUCUCCCUCACAAGCUGAGGUUGGUGUUUUGGCUGAUCCUCCGAGGUCGGAGUCGAUGUGGAUUUAGAGCUCUCUGCAGGUCAGCAGCCAGCAGAGCAAUGCUGAAGGCCUCGAAUCAACUCUGCAGAAGAAAAUGAUACCGGGGAGGUUAGCUGGUUCCUCCAGGACGUGUCCUGAAUGCAACCUCGCUUCCUUCGGUGUCCCUGUCACAGAAAUGGAAAGUGAUGGCUUUAAUUUGGUGUCUCUUAGCAGGGAAACUUUACGGGCUGUCUCCCAGAGAGCUCUCAAUUGCUUUCUGUGCCAAAUCUAUGACAAAGAAAGCAACAGCAAAAUCCAGGCCCUGUUUAAUGCAGGAGGAGAGGCUUGUUUCUUUGUGUUUGUCCUUAAGAAAAGGAAGGCUUUCUUCCCUCAUGCAGGCUUUUCUGCUUUGCUAAGCUCUUUGAGAUGAGAUUCUCUUAUUCAUUGUUUGUCAGCACAUUGCGUGAAGGAGCCCUGAGCUUCUCUGGGCUUUCAUGUCCCGUGUAAAGCAAGAAAUGAUAAUUAUAAUCAAAUAACCGAGCUGAUACGGUUGGUUCAUCAGGCUUCAGUAACACAGCCGUGGGAGGGGGUGGCUAGGAGCCCUCUGCUGCCCCUGUCCUUGUGCAAGGCAGCAUGCUGCUUGCUGCUGCUUGGGCAAAAGCGAAGGAGCAACUUGCCCAGGGAAACAUGGAAUGAUCCGCAGAGCAAGGGAAUGUGAAAGCAACAGAAGUCAGUCCUGAGGCAAGCGGUUGGGCUGAAAUUCCAUUGAUAGACUAAUGCACGGGACUUUAAACCUCGGCCACGAGCACCAGAUACAAACACUGAAUACAAAAUGAUGUUGCGUUUGCUUCUGUGCUUUUGCAUGGUUCUGCAGUGCACUGCUCUGCACUGCUCCUCUGGAGGGGCUCCUUCCUCCUCAUGGGCAUUUGACCCUGGAAGACCUCACCUCCCCAUAUCAGAUAGCAGCCGCGUGCGGCCGCUGCACUGAGCUGCUUACGCCAGGCUGUGAGCUCCCUUACCAGGAAAGGGGUUAAAGCGAGAUAAAGCCGGAGUGUUAUGGAGACCAUAUGGAGGGGAAGAAAACCCUUUAUCCUGUAAUUGGAUUCAUUCCCAGCAGCUCCUGGUGGAGGUGAGGCUGAGUGGAGCUGACAGGACGUGAUGGGUGAGGCGCUGCCAGCUGCCCCGUCCAAAGCAGGAUGUGUGCACACAAACUUGGAGAUCAAUCCAGGAGAUCAAAUAGGUUUAAAUGUGUGGCAGAGAGGAGGAAAGAGAUGCAUCUGCAGUUUGGUCUGGUCGGCUGCUCCUUGCCCAGGAUGGGUUAACUCAGCUGUGGCUGUUUGCUGUUCCUCUGGGCUGGCACAGCUGCAU
ensembl:lncRNA